GACACUCCUACUGGCUGCCUGUGGAAGAUAGUAUUUUCCUGGCUGCCUUUGGACCAAGAUGUACAACUCUUGGCUCCUCCAGCACCAUGUCUGCCUGCACACUGCCUUGCUUCCUGCCAGGAUGAUAAUGGACUGAACCUCUGCAGUGAAAAGAGCCUCGUGAUUCAGCCUACCUGUCUCAAGAGCAGACAUCAUCUUCUAAGACCACCCCUUCUGCUAAGCAGGGAAAGGAUGCUUGUGACCAGAGCUGGAGGUCUCAGCUUCAGGUGGGGCUUCUUCUGUAUGCUUCCCUUAGUCGCAGUGAGUUUGUGUUGAUCAGGACCCAAGUGAACUUCCCCAGGACAGCCAGUCUGGUUGUCCUCACAUGUGGGUUGCAUUGGCUAAGAAGGAGGACUGGGAAAUGGGCUGUUGCUUACACAAAGUCUCAUCCUGAAGAGAGGAGGGUGACCUGAAUGGAUCACCAGGUAGACUUCACAUUAAGCAGGCAACAGAUGAAGGUCACUAGAGAGAUGGACGGGGGAUUUCAGCAGCC
rnacentral:lncRNA from 1 species